GAUAUAUUCUUAAAACUUAAAAAAUUUGGCGGUAUUUUAAUCUAAUUAGAGGAACUUGUUUUAUAAUUGAUAAUCCUCAUUAAAUCUUACUUAAUUUUUAUAUUUGUAUAUCGUUGUCAUAAGAAUUUCUUAAAAAAGGAAUAAUUUUCUAAAAUUUUUAUUUUAAAUUAUGUCAGAUCAAGGUGCAGUUUAUAAUUAAAAAAAAAUGAGUUACAAUAAAGUUAUUUAAUUAAUGGAUUUAAAUUUUAAAAUUUUAUUGAAAGUGGAUUUAAUAGUAAUAUUAAAAAAAGAAUUAAUAUGAUUUUAGAUCUAAAAUAUGUACAAAUCGCCCG
rnacentral:rRNA from 1 species